UACGUAGGGUGCAAGCGUUGUCCGGAAUUAUUGGGCGUAAAGAGCUCGUAGGCGGUCUGUCGCGUCGGCUGUGAAAACCCGAGGCUCAACCUCGGGCCUGCAGUCGAUACGGGCAGACUAGAGUUCGGCAGGGGAGACUGGAAUUCCUGGUGUAGCGGUGAAAUGCGUAGAUAUCAGGAGGAACACCUGUGGCGAAAGCGGCUCACUGGACCACAACUGACGCUGAGGCGCGAAAGCUAGGGGAGCAAACAGG
rnacentral:rRNA from 1 species